ACGCUGGCGGCGUGCCUAACACAUGCAAGUCGAACGGGACUCAGCCCUUCGGGACUGAGUUUAGUGGCGAACGGGUGAGUAACGCGUGAGGAACCUGCCUUUCAGUGGGGGACAACAGUUGGAAACGACUGCUAAUACCGCAUAAUGCUUUUUGAUGGCAUCAUUGAAAAGCCAAAGAUUUAUUGCUGAAAGAUGGCCUCGCGUCUGAUUAGCUAGUUGGUGGGGUAACGGCCCACCAAGGCGACGAUCAGUAGCCGGUCUGAGAGGAUGAACGGCCACAUUGGGGCUGAGAUACGGCCCAGACUCCUACGGGAGGCAGCAGUGGGGAAUAUUGGGCAAUGGGCGCAAGCCUGACCCAGCAACGCCGCGUGAAGGAAGAAGGCUUUCGGGUUGUAAACUUCUUUUGUCAGGGACGAGUAGAAGACGGUACCUGACGAAUAAGCCACGGCUAACUACGUG
rnacentral:rRNA from 1 species